AGUACCUGAAACCCUGUGCCUACAAGCACCUGGAGCACGUCAAAGUGUGACAGGGUACUUUUUGUAGAACGGUCCGGCGAGUGUAUGUAUGUAGCAAGGUUAAGGUCUUCAGGACUGAAGCCGAAGGGAAACCGAGUCUGAAUAGGGCGAAGGAGUUGCAUGCAUACGACCCGAAACCGGGUGACCUAUCCAUGUCCAGGUUGAAGUGAGGGUAAAACCUCAUGGAGGACCGAACCAACCCCUGUUGAAAAAGUGGUGGAUGAGGUGUGGAUAGCGGAGAAAUUCCAAUCGAACCCGGAGAUAGCUGGUUCUCCCCGAAAUAGCUUUAGGGCUAGCGUUGUAUGAGAUUACCGGAGGUAAAGCACUGAAUGAGCUAGGGGCCGAGAGGUUACCGAACUCUAUCAAACUCUGAAUGCCGGAUAAUUAUGUACAGCAGUCAGACUAUGUGAGAUAAGUUUCAUAGUCGAGAGGGAAACAGCCCAGACCCACAGCUAAGGUCCCAAAAUGUCGUUAAGUGGAGAAGGAUGUGGAAUUGCACAGACAACCAGGAUGUUGGCUUAGAAGCAGCCAUUCAUUAAAAGAGUGCGUAACAGCUCACUGGUCGAGUGAUUCUGCGCCGAAAAUGUAACGGGGCUAAACGAUAUACCGAAGCUUGGGCUGCAUGGAAACAUGCGGGGUAGGGGAGCGUUGCAUGCGGGGUGAAGCCGUAGCGGAAGCGGCGGUGGACUGCAUGGAAGUGAGAAUGCCGGAAUGAGUAGCGAGAAUUAUGUGAGAAUCAUAAUGGCCGAAAACCUAAGGAUUUUGAAGGAAGGUUCGUCCGCUUCAAGUUAGCCGGAAGCUAAGGUGAGGCCGAAAGGCGUAGCCGAUGCACAUACGGUUGAAAUUCCGUAGCCGUCGAAAGAUUUAAGCGAGGGGACACCACCAAAGUGUGUGACCCGGGCGUUGGUUGACCCGGGCGCAAGGGACUGAAAUUAGAGUAGGGAAGCACACGCAGAGGUGGGCGAGAAAAGCCUCGUGUAUAUCUGAGACGUCCGUACCGCAAACCGACACAGGUAGGUGGGAUGAAAAUUCUAAGGCCAACGGGAGAAUGGUUGUUAAGGAACUCGGCAAGUUGACCCCGUAACUUCGGGAGAAGGGGUGCUCUAGUAAUAGAGCCGCAGAGAAUAGGCCCAGGCGACUGUUUAGCAAAAACACAGCUCUAUGCUAAAUCGAAAGAUGACGUAUAUGGGGUGACGCCUGCCCGGUGCUGGAAGGUUAAGAGGAGGGGUGCAAGCCCUGAAUUGAAGCCCCAGUAAACGGCGGCCGUAACUAUAACGGUCCUAAGGUAGCGAAAUUCCUUGUC
rnacentral:rRNA from 1 species